UAAGGAAUAUUGGUCAAUGGACGGAAGUCUGAACCAGCCAUGCCGCGUGCAGGAGGACGGCCCUAUGGGUUGUAAACUGCUUUUAUACGGGAACAAACGUCGGUACGAGUACCGGUCUGAGUGUACCGUAAGAAUAAGGAUCGGCUAACUCCGUGCCAGCAGCCGCGGUAAUACGGAGGAUCCGAGCGUUAUCCGGAAUUAUUGGGUUUAAAGGGUGCGUAGGCGGCCAGAUAAGUCAGGGGUGAAAGUCGGCAGCUCAACUGUCGCAGUGCCUUUGAUACUGGUGUGCUUGAAUGCGGAUGAGGUAGGCGGAAUGUGGCAAGUAGCGGUGAAAUGCAUAGAUAUGCCACAGAACACCGAUUGCGAAGGCAGCUUACCAAGGCGUAAUUGACGCUGAUGCACGAAAGCGUGGGGGAUCGAACAGGAUUAGAUACCC
rnacentral:rRNA from 1 species